CUUGCAACCAAUGAUGGCGACCGGCGCACGGGUGAGUAACGCGUAUCCAACCUACCCUUGUCCAUCGGAUAACCCGUCGAAAGGCGGCCUAACACGAUAUGCGGUUCACAGCAGGCAUCUAACGUGAACGAAAUGUGAAGGAGAAGGAUGGGGAUGCGUCUGAUUAGCUUGUUGGCGGGGUAAUGGCCCACCAAGGCUACGAUCAGUAGGGGUUCUGAGAGGAAGGUCCCCCACAUUGGAACUGAGACACGGUCCAAACUCCUACGGGAGGCAGCAGUGAGGAAUAUUGGUCAAUGGGCGAGAGCCUGAACCAGCCAAGUAGCGUGCAGGAUGACGGCCCUAUGGGUUGUAAACUGCUUUUAUAGGGGGAUAAAGUGUGCCACGUGUGGCAUAUUGCAGGUACCCUAUGAAUAAGGACCGGCUAAUUCCGUGCCAGCAGCCGCGGUAAUACGGAAGGUCCAGGCGUUAUCCGGAUUUAUUGGGUUUAAAGGGAGCGUAGGCCGUUUGGUAAGCGUGUUGUGAAAUGUCGGGGCUCAACCUGGGCAUUGCAGCGCGAACUGUCAGACUUGAGUGCGCAGGAAGUAGGCGGAAUUCGUCGUGUAG
rnacentral:rRNA from 1 species